GGCGUGUCCAAGUCUCUCGCGGCGGCACGGCAAGGCGGUUGCCGGGCGCCCCCAGGCCCGCGGGGCCAUCGCCCUUGGCCGGGGCACUGUCGGGCCUGGGCACGAUAAGAGGACCCUUCUUCUCUUCGCCAGACACGCUUCUCUCCCAUACAGUUGAGCUCUUUUUGGUCACAGUCUGCAAUACGCUGUAUGUAACUCCUCCAUCUCCUAGAAGAUGACCAGGCUUGUAGACGCUGCAGUUUCCUCUUCCACUUUCAAGACACUUCUGCUGAAAGUCAACCUCUACCAUGCAGAAUGGAUUUACUACUCUCCAAAUCCUCUAUACUUCCCCUAGUAAAACACAGUUCCUCCUCACUUCCUGAUGACUGCUGAUUUGUUUCUUGCCUUGAUAGUUUUGUCUUUUCUGGCAUGUUCUAUAUAAAUUGAGUCUAUUGUGGGUCGUUUGUUCCCACUGGCUCAUUUCACUUAACAA